GAUAAACGCUGGCGGCGCACAUAAGACAUGCAAGUCGAACGGACUUAACUCAUUCUUUUAGAUUGAGAGCGGUUAGUGGCGGACUGGUGAGUAACACGUAAGCAACCUGCCUAUUAGAGGGGAAUAACAGUGAGAAAUCAUUGCUAAUACCGCAUAUGCUAACAGUAUCGCAUGAUACAGUUAGGAAAGGAGCAAUCCGCUAAUAGAUGGGCUUGCGUCUGAUUAGCUAGUUGGUGGGGUAACGGCCCACCAAAGCUAUGAUCAGUAGCCGAGCUGAGAGGCUGGCCGGCCACAUUGGGACUGAGACACGGCCCAG
rnacentral:rRNA from 1 species